UACCCAAUAACUCCUCUUUUUACCUCCUCGCGGUACCAGCUAAGCUGCGAAUAACCUUUGGGAAGGUCAGGUAACCAACCCCGGUGGGAGCUUUGGCCAUAGGCCGACAGAAAAGG
rnacentral:ribozyme from 1 species